rnacentral:rRNA from 1 species
UGUAAGCGUAUACCAAAGUUGUUGCAGUUAGAACGCUCGUAGUCGGACUUUGGCAGUUCCGGAUGUGUGCACGUCGUGUGCGCACUUCGCGGGGAUUGCUUUUGUGGUCUUGCGUAGGAUGAGGCACUUUUAUUAGUGAACGUCCUCACGCAACCACUUUUUACUGUGAGAAAAUCAGAGUGCUCAAAGCAGGCAUUUGCCGUGAAUGUAUUAGCAUGGAAUAAUAGAAUAGGACUUGGUUCUAUUUUGUUGGUUUGUUGGGACUGAGUAAUGAUUAAGAGGGACAGUUGGGGGCAUUUGUAUUUCGGUGCUAGAGGUGAAAUUCUUAGAUUACCGAAAGACAAACUGCUGCGAAAGCGUCUGCCAAGGAUGUUUUCAUUGA